rnacentral:rRNA from 1 species
GACAGAGGGUGCAAGCGUUAUCCGGAUUCACUGGGUUUAAAGGGUGCGUAGGCGGGCAGGUAAGUCAGGGGUGAAAUCUUCGAGCUUAACUCGGAAACUGCCUUUGAUACUAUCUGUCUUGAAUAUGGUGGAGGUAAGCGGAAUAUGUCAUGUAGCGGUGAAAUGCUUAGAUAUGACAUAGAACACCUAUUGCGAAGGCAGCUUACUACGCCUAUAUUGACGCUGAGGCACGAAAGCGUGGGGAUCAAACAGG